rnacentral:rRNA from 1 species
GACGUAGGGUGCAAGCGUUGUCCGGAAUUAUUGGGCGUAAAGAGCUCGUAGGCGGUCUGUCGCGUCUGCUGUGAAAAUCCAGGGCUCAACCCUGGACCUGCAGUGGGUACGGGCAGACUAGAGUGCGGUAGGGGAGAUCGGAAUUCCUGGUGUAGCGGUGAAAUGCGCAGAUAUCAGGAAGAACACCGGAGGCGAAGGCGGCUUGCUGGACCUGGUCUGACGCUGAGGCGCGAAAGCGUGGGGAGCGAACAGG